rnacentral:lncRNA from 1 species
AUUUGUCCCUACAGGUCUCUAGAAACUUCUCUAGUUGCGUUGGAGUAAUCCUAUCCAACUGAUACAAAACCCGUGGCUCUGUUGUGCCAUUGUCAUUGAUACCGUACUUGUCCCUAGUUUUUUUUAUCUUCUCAGAAACACCUUUGAUGAAUUUUUUUAUUUCCUGAAGAAAACUGUCUCGGCAGCAAAGAAAUUCAUUCUUCUUCAUGAUAGAUUCAGAUGUUAAUACCAAUUCAUUUUUACUUAGGGCUGGUUCACUUCGGCAUGGAUAUACAGCUCUGAUAUUGUCCAGAACUCGCUUAAAUUCCAGUGGUUCAUCCUUCCCUUCCAUUGCUGCAGGAUCCAAGCCAUC